AAUCUGCCUAGAGGUCGGGGACAACCAUUGGAAACGAUGGCUAAUACCGGAUAUGCCUUACGGGGUGAAAGAUUAAUCGCCUUUAGAAGAGCUCGCGUCUGAUUAGCUAGUUGGUAGGGUAAAAGCCUACCAAGGCAUCGAUCAGUAGCUGGUCUGAGAGGAUGACCAGCCACACUGGGACUGAGACACGGCCCAGACUCCUACGGGAGGCAGCAGUGGGGAAUUUUCCGCAAUGGGCGAAAGCCUGACGGAGCAAGACCGCGUGAGGGAGGAAGGCUCUUGGGUCGUAAACCUCUUUUGUCAGGGAAGAACAAAAUGACGGUACCUGACGAAUCAGCAUCGGCUAACUCCGUGCCAGCAGCCGCGGUAAUACGGAGGAGGCAAGCGUUAUCCGGAAUUAUUGGGCGUAAAGCGUCCGCAGGUGGCACUUCAAGUCUGUCGUCAAAGACUGGGGCUUAACCCUGGAAAGGCGGUGGAAACUGAAGCGCUAGAGUGCGGUAGGGGUAGAGGGAAUUCCCGGUGUAGCGGUGAAAUGCGUAGAGAUCGGGAAGAACAUCGGUGGCGAAAGCGCUCUACUGGACCGCAACUGACACUCAGGGACGAAAGCUAGGGGAGCGAAUGGGAUUAGAUACCCCAGUAGUC
rnacentral:rRNA from 1 species